UACGUAGGCAGCGAGCGUUGUUCGGAGUUACUGGGCGUAAAGAGUGCGUAGGCGGUUUUCUAAGUUUGGUGUGAAAUCUCCCGGCUUAACUGGGAGGGGUCGCUCGAUACUGGCGAGCUCGAGGCAGGUAGGGGGAAGCGGAAUUCCAGGUGUAGCGGUGAAAUGCGUAGAUAUCUGGAGGAACACCGGUGGCGAAGGCGGCAUCCUGGACCAACACUGACGCUGAGGAGCGAAAGCCAGGGGAGCAAACGGG
rnacentral:rRNA from 1 species